GUACACACCGCCCGUCGCUACYACCGAUUGAAUGUUUUAGUGAGAUCUUCGGCUUGGUUUUCCGARUGGUUUUCGGAUCRUUCGGYWYAWAUAUCGAAAAGAUGCUCAAACUGGAUCAUUUAGAGGAAGYAAAAGUCGUAACAAGGUAUUCGUAGGUGAACCUGCAGAAGGAUCA
rnacentral:rRNA from 1 species